rnacentral:rRNA from 1 species
AAACCAACAGGGAUUCCCUUAGUAACGGCGAGUGAACCGGGAAAAGCUCAAAUUUGAAAUCUGCCACCAGGCCGAGUUGUAAUUUGUAGAUGGCUACGCUGCCGACUAGCAGAUGCUCAAGUUCUUUGGAAAAAGACAUCAUGGAGGGUGACAAUCCCGUGAGGCGUUUUGCUAGGAAGCAUAUAGUGGGCUUUCUAAGAGUCGAGUUGUUUGGGAAUGCAGCUCAAAGUGCGUGGUGAAUACCAUGUAAAGCUAAAUAUGGACGAGAGACCGAUAGCGAACAAGUACUGUGAAGGAAAGAUGAAAAGCACUCCGAAAGGAGAGUGAAAUAGUACGUGAAAUUGUUAAAGUGGAAGGGCUUGAGAUCAGAAUUGGAGAAGUGGGUUCCACGUCCUUUCGGGGGCGUGUACUCCCUAUUUUCCGGGCCAGCGGGAGUUUUGUCUCUUGGGUAAAAGCAGUGGAAUGUAGCAGCUUGUCUGUAUUAUAGCCUCUGUUCAUACAAGAUGUCAGGACUUGGAAUUUUGUUGGCGUAAUGAUCUCUAGCCAC